rnacentral:rRNA from 1 species
AGUAACUGCGAGUGAAGUGGCAAAAGCUCAAAUUUGAAAUCCGGUACCUCCGGUGCCUGAGUUGUAAUUUGGAGAGACAAAUUUGGUUGGCAGCGCUGGCCUAGGUUACCUUGGAACAGGACAUCAUAGAGGGUGAGAAUCCCGUGCCCGGCUGGAAUGGCUGCCAUGCCGCUAAAUUGUCUUCGACGAGUCGAGUUGUUUGGGAAUGCAGCUCAAAAUGGGUGGUAAAUGUCAUCUAAAGCUAAAUAUUGGCGAGAGACCGAUAGCGCACAAGUAGAGUGAUCGAAAGAUGAAAAGCACUUUGAAAAGAGAGUCAAAAAGUACGUGAAAUUGCUGAAAGGGAAGCGCUUGAGACCAGACUCGAAACGUGAUGAUCAGCUGCGCUUCUGUGCGGCUACACUCGCCACGAUUCGGGCCAGCAUCGGUUCUGGCGGCCGGACAAAAGGUGGGGGAAUGUAGCUUCCUUCGGGGAGUGUUAUCAGACCCCAUCACAAUGUGGCCAGCCGGGACCGAGGACAGCGCUCUGUAUGGAGCUAGGAUGCUGGCGCAAUGGUCUUAAGCGACCCGUCUUGAAACACGGACCAAGGAGUCUAACAUCUAUGCGAGUGUUCGGGUGGAAAACCCUUGCGCGAAAUGAAAGUGAACGGAGGUGGGAACCCGCAAGGGUGCACCAUCGACCGAUCCCGAUGUCUUCGGAGGGAUUUGAGUAGGAGCAUAGCUGUUGGGACCCGAAAGAUGGUGAACUAUGCCUGAAUAGGGUGAAGCCAGANGAAACUCUGGUGGAGGCUCGCAGCGGUUCUG